UGGUGGCAAGACGGAGAGGAGCGGAGAGAUCGGGAGGUAAUGGAAAUGUGAAGAUCACAAAUGAAGCCAGUGUAAGUUUAGGAGAAUUGGUGUGAUAUGGUGGGAUAACGGAGUCCUGGUGAUGAUGCGGGCUGCAGAGUUUUGGAGAAGCUGCAGUUUCUGGUACAAAGUCAGGUUGGUUUGGGCUCGCAGGUGAGCGACUGGUGACCAGGUGAUUGGGUUGAGUGGUAUGGGACCACUCUCCCAUGGGCCCACCACCCAAAAAACUUCUGUGCUCGUCAUAGUUUGUCCAUAACAAACACCAUGUUCCAGCAUAAGAGGAUCUAUCAAUACACGUGGCAUGAGGACAAGCUAGGCAGGAGGUCAAUAAUCGACUUUGUAGUUGUUUCAGGCAACCUUUGGCCUUGUUUCUUGGACACUCUGAUAAAGAGAGGGGCAGAGCUGUCCACCACUCACUACCUGGUGGUGAGUUGGAGAUGCUGGCGAGGAAGGAGGUCGGAAAGACUUGGGAGACCCAAACACAUCGUGAGGGUGUGCUGGGAACGUCUGGCUGAUCCCUCCGUUAGGGAAGUCUUUAACUCCCACAUCCGGGAGAACUUCAAACAGGUGCUGAGGGAGGUUGGGGACCCAUUGAAUGUCUGCAGUGGACAAUGUGGACAAUGUUGUCCACUUCCAGGGGACUAUUAAUAAUUUAUUUUAGUAUUCCUCAUUUCACAUUUUAUUGUUAAUUAUUUAUGUCUUUUACCAACUAUGGUUACCUUUUCUUACUUUUAUUUUUAUUUCCAGAGCUUCCUCAGUUGGAUCCUCUCCCUCUGGGUCAGCUGCUCCAUAUGGGGACCUGCAUCGCCACCUUGCUGUGGUGUUGCUGGGUCCCCGCCUGUGAUGCUGCAUCUGGCUGUCCAUGCAGCUUUUCAUAGAGAGGGAGGUUACAAAUAUCAAUUUUACAGUAACAAACUUUUUACGUGCUCAUCCUCUUGCCCAAAUGUUAAUCUUCAUCGUUUAAGGGGUGGGAGACAUGAAUGGGAUUAGGGGUUCUGUGUAGGAUGUGGGUGGGGAUGGGAAUAGAGGCUUUAUUUUAAUUUUUAUAUUGUGAUGCUUGUUUUAUGUUUUUGUUCUGGAAUUAAACACUUUGUAUUAUGUUCUAUAUGAGAAGUGCUAUAUAAAUAAAGUUUAAUUUGAUUUGAUAAAGACUUCAGAUGUACUGUCAACUGUGUUGUAGCAGAUAAUCUGGCUGGCCAAGGACUGGUGGCAGUUAUAUUAGUCCUAGCCAAAAAUUGGAAAUACAGUCAACAUCUGCUGUUUCAUUUGAUUUUAUUGAAGAACAACUUGAAGCACAUUUAAAGUCUGAUAUAGAUUCAGGAGCAGCAUGUUUUGGAGUAAAAAAAUAAAGAAAAAAGAAAAGAAAAAAAUGUCAAAGGUGAUGUGAAAUAUCAAUCUGCAGAAGAGAAAAAUUAGGCAGGAAACAAAAAAUAACAAGUACAAAAAAACUGAGAGGGUGAAACAAAAACCAUUAUCUUUACUGUUUACACUUAAAGUUUUUAAAACACUUGGAGAGAUAAUGGUGCCAAUAAACAUGUGGAUUAUGGACGAUGCUUCGCGAAAGGCUCAAAGGCAAGGGAAGUUCUCAGGAGCUGUUGAAUGGGGGAACUUUAACGCAGAAGUCCUUUAUAUAAGCUUUAGAUAGUCAAUAUCCUGGGAGCAGCCUUUCUGCUAGCGACCUUCUGUUCAUGAUUAUUUGCCAUGUUCAUUUUGCACUGCUUUGUUAAAAAAAAAAAAAAAAAA